AGCAGCCGCGGUAAUUCCAGCUCCAAUAGCGUAUAUUAAAGUUGUUGCAGUUAAAAGCUCGUAGUUGAAUUUCGGAAUCAGUACGCUGGUCGUGCCUUCGGUAUGUACUGGUGUCACUGAUUCCUCCCUUCUGAAGAACCAUCAUGCCAUUCACUUGGUGUGGUGGGGAAUCAGGACUGUUACUUUGAAAAAUUAGAGUGUUUAAAGCAGGCUCGCGCUUGAAUACAUUAGCAUGGAAUAAUGAAAUAGGACGUUAAUCCUAUUUUGUUGGUUUCUAGGAUCGACGUAAUGAUUAAUAGGGAUAGUUGGGGGCAUUAGUAUUCAAUUGUCAGAGGUGAAAUUCUUGGAUUUAUUGAAGACUAACUACUGCGAAAAGCAUUUGCCAAGGAUGUUUUCAUUAAUCAAGAACGAAGUUAGGGGAUCGAAGACGAUCAGAUACCGUCGUAGUCUUAACCAUAAAACUAUGCCGACUAGGGAUCGGAUGAUGUUAAUUUUUUUAAUGACUCAUU
rnacentral:rRNA from 1 species